AAGUACAGACCUCCAGAACGAAUUAAGUUCUUAACCCGAGGUACCACUGUAGUAGCUUUCCAGUCUCAUGCAGAGCUUUCUCCCAUCCCUGCUUCUUAAUAUAGUGGUACCUCAGGUUAAGUACUUAAUUUGUUCCGGAG